UACGUAGGGUGCGAGCGUUAAUCGGAAUUACUGGGCGUAAAGCGUGCGCAGGCGGUGAUGUAAGACCGAUGUGAAAUCCCCGGGCUUAACCUGGGAACUGCAUUGGUGACUGCAUUGCUGGAGUAUGGCAGAGGGGGGUGGAAUUCCACGUGUAGCAGUGAAAUGCGUAGAGAUGUGGAGGAACACCGAUGGCGAAGGCGGCCCCCUGGGCCAAUACUGACGCUCAUGCACGAAAGCGUGGG
rnacentral:rRNA from 1 species